UACGAAGGGGGCUAGCGUUGCUCGGAAUCACUGGGCGUAAAGCGCACGUAGGCGGAUUGUUAAGUCAGGGGUGAAAUCCUGGAGCUCAACUCCAGAACUGCCUUUGAUACUGGCGAUCUCGAGUCCGGGAGAGGUGAGUGGAACUGCGAGUGUAGAGGUGAAAUCGUAGAUAUUCGCAAGAACACCAGUGGCGAAGGCGACUUCCUGGCCUGUUCUUGACGCUGAGGCGCGAAAGCUAGGGGAGCAAACGGGG
rnacentral:rRNA from 1 species